rnacentral:rRNA from 1 species
GACGAACGCUGGCGGCGUGGAUUAGGCAUGCAAGUCGAACGGUAGUGUUCCUUCGGGGGACAUGAGAGUGGCGAACGGGUGAGUAACGCGUAGGUGAUCUACCUUCAAGUGGGGGACAACCCAGGGGAAACUUGGGCUAAUACCGCAUGUGUCCGUAAGGAUAAAGCCGGCCUCUGAAUAUGCUGGUGCUUGGAGCUGAGCCUGCGUCUGAUUAGCUAGUUGGUGGGUAACGCCUACCGAGGCGAUGAUAAGUAGGCGGCUUUAACGAGUGGUCGCCCACACUGGGAUUGAGAUACGGCCCAGACUCCUACGGGAGGCAGG